AAAGAAGCUUGCUUCUUACGAGUGGGGGACGGGUGAGUAAUGUGUGGGAAACUGCCUGAUGGAGGGGGAUAACUACUGGAAACGGAAGCUAAUACCGCAUAAUGUCGCAAGACCAAAGAGGUUCGUCUUGCCAUCGGAUGUGCCCAGAUGGGAUUAGCUUGUUGGUGGGGUAACGGCUCACCAAGGCAACGAUCCCUAGCUGGUCUGAGAGGAUGACCAGACACACUGGAACUGAGACACGGUCCAGACUCCUACGGGAGGCAGCAGUGGGGAAUAUUGCACAAUGGGCGCAAGCCUGAUGCAGCCAUGCCGCGUGUAUGAAGAAGGCCUUCGGGUUGUAAAGUACUUUCAGCGGGGAGGAAGGGAGUAAAGUAAUCUUUGCUCUUGACGUUACCCGCAGAAGAAGCACCGGCUAACUCCGUGCCAGCAGCCGCGGUAAUACGGAGGGUGCUAGCGUUAAUCGGAAUUACUGGGCGUAAAGCGCACGCAGGCGGUUUGUUAAGUCAGAUGUGAAAUCCCCGGGCUCAACCUGGGAACUGCAUCUGAUACUGGCAAGCUUGAGUCUCGUAGAGGGGGGUAGAAUUCCAGGUGUAGCGGUGAAAUGCGUAGAGAUCUGGAGGAAUACCGGUGGCGAAUGCGGCCCCCUGGACGAGACUGACGCUCAGGUGCGAAAGCGUGGGGAGCAAACAGGAUUAGAUACCCUGGUAGUCCACGCCGUAAACGAUGUCGACU
rnacentral:rRNA from 1 species